AGCUUGAUUCUCUCUUUUCACAGUUAUUACUCAAAACUUUUAAAGUCCUACAUUAGUUGAAAAGGUAAGAGAUUAAAACUGGUUAAAUACAUUCGGACUUUAGCCAAACUGCCCUCUUCCUCGUAAACUAACACUGCUAUAGGUGCAGGAUGCUGCUCAGUAGCAUAAAAGCUGUCGCCAUUGAUAAAUAUUACUGGGUUGGCCGUCACGUGACAUAAGACGUGACACACAUGCGCCAUUACUAUGCAUUGAGUCUUGCCCGUCUUGUCAGUCUUGACAAUGUCCAAAAAGGUACACAAAGAAUCACAAAAGGGGAUCCAAUGUUUUACCAUCAAAGGCAAAAGAUUAUGACAGCAAAAUUUUACAAUACCAUGUUUUUUGUGUAAUUCAAUUGUUUUUUAGUUUUGUUUAAGGCCUGAUGCUGGGGGAGAGGCAGGAGCUGAAGAAGUUCCUGAUGAAGGGGCAAAGGGAGGAGCAAGGACAACUUUCUGAACACUUCCAUCUGGAGAAGAUGGAGGGAGAAGACAAAGUUUAUUCUUAUGUUGGACUAUUGUUGGUAUUUUUUUUGAAUUAAACUUGUUUUGAAGAAUGACUUCAAUUUUUUUGUUGACGCGUUAAAUUACUAGUAAUUUUACUGUUUUAGUUAAUAUUUAGGUUUUGAAUGUUUUGUAUUUGUGAUUCCCUUCCUAUUGUGUCAUUGGCUUGAUCAGCCAGUAUAAAAUCUCCCUAAUGUUUCCUGUUGGUGGGUCAGUUUAGGUUCAGUUGGUUUGAGCUUUUGUUAUUGAUUCUCUCAGUUACAUUUUUGUUAAGUUGACCCCAUUUUAUUUAAGUCCAUGACGUUUUUGUGUUGGGUAAAAUAAAACCCCUGAUUUGAAGGUGUUUUUUGUCCUGUGGCUCAAUCUCUGCCGAGUAGACCCUGACAAGAAGUCUGCAAGGUACCGGGAUGGACAUUCUCAUCUGUGGUGGUGGGGGGGACUGGAUGGCUCCCAGACCUGGUGGUGCCAGCUGGGUCACCUGGCCAGGCGGCUGUGUCAGAAGAGAUGAUGACUGACCUGGUCUUCAUCCUCCUCAAUGCCCUCAUCCUCCUCUUGGAGAGCAGUGACAGCAGCAGCCUCGUCUGGAGCCUCAGGGUCCAGGCUGACAUCCUCAAGCACGCUGCCCGUCUGCUGGUACAGCAGGUUUGGUGAAAUCCUAAACCAUCUAAAGACCAAGCACCCUUUGGCUCUUCUGGCUCAGGGCGUGCUUGAGGUGGCCACUGUAGGAGUGCAGAGGCCACAGAUGUUCCUGAGCUGCAGCAUCUGCUACGCGGUCCUUUUUCCACCUCACCAGUCCAUCUAUCAAGAACGCCUGGAAGUACUUGGGGCUUGUAGACUUUCCCAAAUGGAACCGUGUAAACAUCAGCAGUUAAGUUUACGGAUGGGAAAUUGCACAUAAAGUCUAAAGUUCCACCAUUUACUCCGUUAAACAUAACAAAAUCUGCAGUUGCCUGAGAUGAACUGCUGGAGGUGGAAGGACUCCAGAAAGGUGGAGCCUGCUGGAGUAAUAAGCAAACAUAUGUUUUGUAUGCAACUGUGAUUGUAACUUUCAAAAGUUAUAAUAAAUAUAUAUUGAGUUAUUUAACAUUAA